AUACCCUAUUAUUUUUAUUGUAAAUAUAAAAACCUGAGUAGUAAUAGAAAUAAUCUUAAAACUUAAAGAAUUUGGCGGUAUUAUAGUCUAUUUAGAGGAAUCUGUUAAGUAAUUGAUAGUCCGCGUUGAAUCUUACUUAUAUUAUGUUCUUGUAUAUCGCUGUUUAUGAAAAUACUUUAAGGUAAUUUUCAUAAGAAUUAAAUAGUUAGUAUUUCAAGUCAAGGUGCAGUAAUUUAUAAGUUGGGUAAUGGAUUACAAUAAAAUUUAUUUAUAAUGGAUUAUUAUUUGGAAUUAAUAUGAAGGUGGAUUUAAUUGUAAUUUUGUGAAGAUUGUCAAAAUGAUUAUUAGCUCUAUAAUAUGUACACAUCGC
rnacentral:rRNA from 1 species